AAGAAAGUAGGUGCCGCCCCGCACAGGGGCAGUGCUAAUAGACCGACGCGAACUCAGGGUCUCACGAAGGCCAACGCGCACCACCCCAACAAAACCCCAUCAGUCCCGC
rnacentral:sRNA from 1 species